rnacentral:lncRNA from 1 species
CCCAGUUGACUCACAUCGCCUCCCGAGUUGCCACUGGAGCUUCCUCCCUUGUCCUUCUCCGGCGAUUUCCGCCGGGCCACCUUGGAUGGCUUCUGCCAGCCAUCCAGAUCCACAGGGGAGACAGAGGGGAUCGUCUCCCCAUCCACCGGAGAUGUCUGCGUCCGAGGAGGCGUGCCCACAGGUUUUGGACCACUCUCCGACGCCAUCGGCUUCCUCGUCUUCACGUUCCCUUCCCCGGCCCUCAUCUGCCGAACCCUGUGGGUGACCAACCACGGCCCAUACCCUGGGUUCACCGGAGGUUCGAUCCCACCGGCCCCUCC